UGUGGGGCUUGAACCCACGAACCCGCGAGAUCAUGACCUGAACCGAAGUCGGACGCUUAACCGACUGAGCCACCCAGGCGCCCCUAAGGUAGGGUUUUAAAAAUAUGAGCCUAGAUGUGAGGAGGAGAGAGUUGUCCCAGAACGUUGGGCUGAUGGUGCUAUUGCCUCUGAACACAACUUCCUGGUAGUCUUAUCCAAAACAUAAUGCUGGUGGUUAUCAAGCUCUCCUUUUCUGAUAAAAGGGAGCAUAUCAGCUCUUCGCAAGAACAGAUUUUUCCGAUCCAAACUUUGUAAAUACAUUAAACGAGCUUUGGUCAGAGUUCUCCCCCUCCCUACCCCGUGCUCUUGAACUGAUCUCUGAGGAACUCGGAGUCUCCUCAUCAAUUACAUGCCCACCUCUAGGACCUGCGGAGCCUGCGACCUGGCGAGGCAGAGCCACCGUGCCGGAGCCAAGCUCUGUGCUGGCCCGGGAGAAGUGGGGGCCGGAGGUGGCCGUUUCUGGCACCAGUGGGAACUCUGGGAAAAAGCCAGGUCGCUGAGACACGAGGGGCCUUCCCUCUGAUGCAAGUGAGCCCCCUCCCAGGGGCCACUUCCCAGCAGCCAGAGCAGCAAGUGCCCCGGGAGGGGGCCUGGGAAUGGUUACUGAGAAAUCCCUGGGCUGCCCACACACUUCCCCUUCUGUCAAAUGCCAGGAGGAUUCCUCCCGCAGGCGAGGGGAAAGGUGAGCAAGGUUCACCCCAUACUGAGUCACUGGAAAGAUUAGGGGACCCAGUGGAGAAGGGUGUCAUUCCAUCUCCUCUAGAACUCCUGAGGGGGACCGUAAUUCCAGGCUUGGCCUGAGACGAUCUCCACAGACUUAGGGAGCACUGGAGAAUGGAGCCUCGAAGCCUCCCCCUCCCCUGCUUCCUGCAAGGGCACUGCGGCCUGGUUCCUGGGACAGUGGGAAUCUCCUUCCUGUCCUUGUCCCGUUAUGCUCUGCCUCACCGGCCAAAGACUUGUGGAACCCACACUCUCACCCACCUCUUAGGCCUGGGAUUCCACCUGAGGGACCCCCACAGCCCCCUUCCCAGUCCAGGCCCCUGGAGUGUUUUCCCAGCAGCCUGUCGGCUUCCAUCCUUAGCUGUGGGCCUUGGCGCAGUGGGAGGAAUCUCCCUGCUUGCAUGCCUCACUACAGAGAGCAGGCCAAGGAGCCCACUGCAAAGUGCACCCCUCCUGAGACCACCGUCCACUGGAACUCUGGGGUGCAGCUGCCCCCAGCCCCCCAGCCCCGUUCCCCAAGUCAGCUGGAGGAAGCAGAGAAGCUGGCCCAGGGCUGGCCUGGUAGUCCACCCCCCACCUCCACCCCCCAACCCCUCAUCGUUGUGGAGAUGCCUUUGGCAGCAGAAUUGGAACCAGCCGGGAUGUGAUGAUUCGCCCACGAGGAGGUCUGCCCAUACACUAGUCAUGAGAACAGUUUGCCCAGAGGGGUUUUUGAGGGCCCAGGCCAGACAUGAGUGUGAGGGAAGUCCCAGCUGGCCCUUGAACCCAUCUUUUAAGGCUGCUAUCACCAGGCAAGGCCGUAAUGGGACAGGGGUGGGGACCAGGUUGGGACAGGGUUGGACUUGGUCUUGGGGCUAGUUAUGGAGGGAGGUGGGUGGAGUCACCAAUCCCUCCCCUCCAGCCCCAGGUGGUCCUUAUCACCGCUUACCUGGACCGUGGCAACAGUCUCCUCAGGACCUCCCUGCCCAAGCCUUGAGCCUCUAAUCCUUCCUCCCGAAGGACCCUUAGACCUGCCCUGUGAGCUGAUCAAGGGCCAAGUCUCUCUCUGGCUCAUAAAUCUUCAAUGGCUCCCAAUAGCUAGUGGGAAGCAGAAGACUCUCAAGGCCUUGCGGUUGACUUCAGCCAUACUUCCAACCACCCUUCUCACCAUGCCCUGAGAGAACGUUGUGCCUCAACCAAAGAGAGAACCAUGCCUCUUCAGGCUCCAGGCAUCACCUUCCCCUGGACAGUCUUCCUUUCCCUCUCUUCAAGGGCCUUUGCAGAUGCAAGCAAGUUAAGACAAAGCCACACUACAUUAGGGUGGACCCUGAUCCAAUGACUGGUGUCUUUAUCAAAAGAGGGAACGGACACACAAAGGGCAAGGGCCACGUGGAAACAGAAGUGGAGGUGAGAGUGGUGCAUCCACAAGCCAAGGAGCCAAGGAUUUUGCCAGUCACUGCGGGGAGCCGGGCAAGAAGCACAGGACCCUUUCUCCCUCAGAGCCUCCAGAAGGAACCGACCUUCCGACACCAUGAUUUCUGGCCUCCACGCCUGGGAGAGUAUAACUUUCUGUGUGGUAAGCCACCCAAAUUUGUGGUGAUUUGUUAUGGCAGCCCCAGGAAACUAAUACAGCCCCCGAACAGAGAGACCGCCUGCGAUGGAAGCCGACACUGGGGAAAUGAGGGCCAUGGACUUGGACUCUUGGCACUCUGACAACACUUGGAUCCAGCGGUGGCUGAAGCAAGGGGUCUACGUGAGCUGAUAUGUUCUCAAUUUUACUUACGCCAUUUUGGCUGAGCUUCUGUCUGGUUCAACAGAGAGAGGCCUGACUAAUACAGAGAUAAUGUAAAA